UUCUUCUACAACAUCGGCUGUGACUAUUUUCGGACAUAUGGCACCACUGUGCAACCAUGUGUGUUCCCAUCAGUACAGGGAUACAACGGAAACUUCAGCCUCACAAUUGUGCCAUAUGUGGCUGACACCAGCAUAGUUAUGCCUGAUGUCAGAUGCAGUGUGUCAGAGACGCCAGCAACCACAAACAGUUUCAGUGAAGAAGACAACUCCCUGUCCUCUUCACCUGGCUUUGGCACUGUUGGAAAUGCAUCACCAUCCCACAGCUAUGAAAUGGCAUCACCAGUUGUUGUGCAACCUCAGAAUUGACUGCACUGUGAUAAUGUUUGGUAGGUCGGGAGUGUUCUACAUGUGGUACGCAUGCACAAGUUUCCGGGUACUCUCACCCUAGUCUUCUGAAAAAUUCUGUUUUGCAGCAGCAUAACUCGUGUGAUUUUUCUUUACCUGUGGUAAGGGGCACUGCCACUCUGAGGUGAUUGCAGCCAUUUUUGUGUGCCUUGAAUGUUCAUCGCCUCACCAAUACUUUGCCUUCAUUCAGUAUCAUUGUAUGUGUCUGCAAUUGCUGCAGCUGUGGUAUUUUUCUUUAGGUGCUGAUUACCUUUCUCUGAACACAUGAAUGCAGUUUACAUGGAGUGGAUUGUUGCUCUACUGCCAAAAGGAAACAGCAAAUUAGUGUUAACUAGGAUGAAUCGCCAUGUUUGUGCUUUAGAACUGUUCGCUAUAGUUUCUCUUAUAUUAUUAGCUGCCUUGUCUGAAAGACUCAACAUGAGCAGUGUUACUGUUAGUAGGAGUUAUUACUUGUGAUGCUACUGUGAUAAUUUAAACAAUAGGCUGCACAUUGGUCAUACUGUGACAUGGUCUAUUCAUCAAAACUAGUCAGACCUGUGCAGCACUGCCACACCGCAACAUGGUCACAUUCUAGCAUUGCUCAUUUUAAACAUUGUUGCAGCCUUACUCUAG